rnacentral:rRNA from 1 species
UGACCUGGUGGUCAUGGCGGGGCGGCUGCACCCGUUCCCAUUCCGAACACGGCCGUGAAACGCCCCAGCGCCUAUGGUACUUCGUCUUAAGACGCGGGAGAGUCGGUCGCUGCCAGGUCU